UUUUGACCAAUAUGUAAUGCUGUUUCAAGGUAGUACCAGUAUCUUGUGUUCAGUGGAACCAAGGUAAACACAAGAUACUGGUAUUACCUUGAGAUAGCAUUAACACCUAAGUGGUUUC
rnacentral:pre_miRNA from 8 species